AACGAACGCUGGCGGCGCGCCUAAUACAUGCAAGUCGAGCGAGAAGACGUAGCAGUACGUUUGUAAAGCGGCGAACGGGUGAGGAAUACAUGGGUAACCUACCCUCGAGUGGGGAAUAACUAACCGAAAGGUUAGCUAAUACCGCAUACGACUCCUGGUCUGCGGAUCGGGAGGGAAAGCGAUACCGUGGGUAUCGCGCUCUUGGAUGGGCUCAUGUCCUAUCAGCUUGUUGGUGAGGUAACGGCUCACCAAGGCUUCGGCGGGUAGCUGGUCUGAGAGGACGAUCAGCCACACUGGCACUGCGACACGGGCCAGACUCCUACGGGAGGCAGCAGUAAGGAAUAUUGCGCAAUGGGCGACAGCCUGACGCAGCGACGCCGCGUGGGGGAUGAAGGUCUUCGGAUUGUAAACCCCUUUCGGCAGGGAAGAUGGAACGGGUAACCGUUCGGACGGUACCUGCAGAAGCAGCCACGGCUAACUUCGUGCCAGCAGCCGCGGUAAGAC
rnacentral:rRNA from 1 species